rnacentral:lncRNA from 1 species
AAAAAAGAAAGGUCGUGUGCUUGGAACCAGAGCAAGUGAUCCAAUGCCAUUACCAAUUCCUGAUAAUAUGGCGACUUCACAGAACACAACGACGAAUUUUAUAGAAAUUCAACAACAAAAAAGUAAAGAAGACUUUGAUCGGGCAGGGCAGUUCAAGAGGCCAUUAGAAAACAGAUGCCGGAUAUACUAAAAGAACUAAGGGAAGACUUACGUCGAGAGACGAUUGAGGUAAUUAGCAUUUAUAUAUAAAUCAAUAUUCAUAUUUUCUUUGUAAUUUCAAUUUAUUUUUACAUUAGGGUCAGUCGAGCCAAGGACACAACAACAUAA